GAUGAACGCUGGCGGCGUGCUUAACACAUGCAAGUCGAACGGAAAGGCCCAAGCUUGCUUGGGUACUCGAGUGGCGAACGGGUGAGUAACACGUGGGUGAUCUGCCCUGCACUUCGGGAUAAGCCUGGGAAACUGGGUCUAAUACCGGAUAGGACGAUGGUUUGGAUGCCAUUGUGGAAAGUUUUUUCGGUGUGGGAUGAGCUCGCGGCCUAUCAGCUUGUUGGUGGGGUAAUGGCCUACCAAGGCGUCGACGGGUAGCCGGCCUGAGAGGGUGUACGGCCACAUUGGGACUGAGAUACGGCCCAGACUCCUACGGGGGGCAGCAGUGGGGAAUAUUGCACAAUGGGCGCAGGCCUGAUGCAGCGACGCCGCGUGGGGGAUGACGGCCUUCGGGUUGUAAACUCCUUUCGCUAGGGACGAAGCGUUUUUGUGACGGUACCUGGAGAAGAAGCACCGGCUAACUACGUG
rnacentral:rRNA from 1 species